AUGAAGACGUCUGAGGUGAUGGGAAACCACACUAAAAUUCCCUUUUUUGGGGGUAAUUUCUUCAACACCUUCUCCACAAACCUUUGGAACAAGGGUGAGGGCAUCCCACUCCCACUGAGGAGCCCCCAGGCUGUUCCUGCAGGGAGCAGCCAGAGCCAAGGGGAAGAAGAGGAAGCAGAGACACAGCCACUGAUGGCAAUUUCAGUAACGUGGAAGACAAAAUUGGAGAUGCAAGCACAGGCCAGAGACAGGAUCAGCAGGACACGCGUGGGACCCUCUGGGGUGAGCUCCACCAACCAAAACCUCCUUUCUCCAAAACACAGCCUCAUUUUUUUCCCAGCCCUGCUCCUCAAAGCCACUCUCAACUUCAAGGAAACCCUCCAGGGCCUCCAAGUGCUGCCAAAGGAGAGCAAACACAACAACUUCCACAUCCUCUGGGAGCAGGAGUGGGUCAUGGAUCGCCCCAGAGAGGCUGCAGAGGAGCGGGGCCCCAGCCCAGCCCAGCCAGGGCACGCUGGGCUUGGCACACCUGGGCACACCGGGCUUGGCACACCUGGGACACGCUGGUUUUGGCACUCCUGGCUGGUUUUGGCACUCCUGGCUCGUGUUUACACCCACACCCAGAGCGGUGCCAGCCCCGCACCACGGCAGAGACAGGCCUGGCUCUGCCGGGCUUCCCGAGCACAAUCCGCCGAGGAAUUCUGCUCCCAGGAAGCUGAGGGCAUUUUCUACGGGAAACAAAAGGAGUCUGCCCUUGGGAAAGUGCAAUUUUUUGUGUUCUGAACAGGCAAAGUUGGAUAUCACCUCGUGCUUACAUGGCCUAACAUCCAUCCCUGGGACUCAGGGAUUCACCGGGGUCAUCAGUGAGACAAGGGGCAGCUUUGGAAUUCUUCCCAUUCCCCAUUCCCCAUAUCUCUCAUUUAAACCUCUCCCAUACCUCAACAAAGCACAUUCCUCCAGGAACAACAGCCCAGCCAAAGGUAAAGCUACUGUGGAUGUCCAGGAGCCUCCAGGCAACACCACGUCUGAGCUCAAGCCUCCAAAAAACCCCAAACCCUCCAGCUCAAACUAAUAGACACAUCUGCCAACAGCUUGUUUUAAUUUUUUGGAACCACUCUCUAGAUUACUCAAUUGCCAAGAAAAAGAAGAGAUAUUUAUGAUAGCAACUGGAAAGCCUUGAAAUUCCAAGUCAGAUCCUUAGUGGUGUAAACUGAGGCUGCUCCAGUGAGUCAGGGGGCCACUGCCAAUUCACACAGGUUGAAGUGGCUCUCUGCUCUCAUCUCCUGGCUCCCCAGCACGCAGGGACAAUUAAAGGCAGCUCAGGCAGGCACUCCAUGAAUAUCUGCCACUCUCUGCUCUGAAGUCAUCCCCUUGGAAAAGAAUCAGAAGGGCAAAAAAUGCAGAAGUGGAAGCAGACGUUUGCUCCUACCUUGAACUCGGAGCUGCAGCUGCAGCAGGAAAACCAAAAGCUGGAGGGACAGAGAACACCUGCUGAGAGUGUCCAGUAGUUCUGAAUGUUUUGUUCUAUAAACCAGGAAAAAAUUUGUGGGUUUAGUUUGAAAUAGGUUCAAGUAGGAUUUGUUUGUGUUAAAAGCAGGGAGAGGUUUCAAUAGCAAAGGAGCACGAGGGAGCUCUGGAGACACUGAACCCCUGAGCAGGUGCCUGGAUUUCUGGAAUAUUCAGCAGGUGUUGAUGUGCAGCUCAGUGAAUCCCAAAUUUUCCUGUACUGAAAAAUGUUCUUUCCAUCAAAAAAACUUCUCCUGAAGUGGUUUGGUUCCGAAUCAGGGCCUGGUGUGAUGGGUGGGUGAGGUUGGUGUGUCACUCACCUGGGCCAUGUGUGAGGAGACAUCUCUGUGGUCAGUCAGGGGUUAAAGAAUGGACUUUGUUCUUAGGCUUUGGAAUAAAAAAUUAAAAAAAGCAGAAUUUGAUUAACA
ensembl:lncRNA